rnacentral:tRNA from 1 species
GGAGGCGUCGCAUAGUGGCCUAGUGCGCCCGCCUGCUAAGCGGGUUUGGGAUGAAACCCAUCGCGAGUUCAAAUCUCGCCGCCUCCGCC